rnacentral:tRNA from 1 species
GCGACCGUGGCGAAAUAGGUAGACGCAGCGGACUUAAAAUCCGCAGCCGCAAGGCAUGCCGGUUCGAUUCCGGCCGGUCGCACCA